rnacentral:rRNA from 1 species
AAUGAACGCUGGCGGCGUGCUUAACACAUGCAAGUCGAGCGAGGCCAGGGGGGCAACCCCCUGAGUCGAGCGGCGGACGGGUGAGUAACACGUGGGUAACCUACCCGGAAGUGGGGAAUACCUCGGGGAAACUCGAGCUAAUACCGCAUGACAUCUUUGGGACGAAAGUCCUGACGAUCAAAGCGGGGUCGCAAGAUCUCGCGCUACCGGAUGGGCCCGCGCCCGAUUAGCUAGUUGGUGAGGAACGGCUCACCAAGGCUUCGAUCGGUAACCGGCCUGAGAGGGCGAUCGGUCACACCGGAACUGAGACACGGUCCGGACUCCUACGGGAGGCAGCAGUGGGGAAUCUUGCGCAAUGGGCGAAAGCCUGACGCAGCAACGCCGCGUGGAGGAAGAAGGCC